rnacentral:rRNA from 1 species
UACGUAGGGUGCGAGCGUUAAUCGGAAUUACUGGGCGUAAAGCGUGCGCAGGCGGCGCCGCAAGUCAGGCGUGAAAUCCCCGAGCUUAACUUGGGAAUGGCGCUUGAAACUACUUGGCUGGAGUGUGGCAGAGGAAGGUGGAAUUCCAGGUGUAGCGGUGAAAUGCGUAGAGAUCUGGAGGAACACCGAUGGCGAAGGCAGCUCUCUGGGACGGUACUGACGCUGAGACGCGAAAGCGUGGGGAGCGAACAGG